UCAUAGAACCCGUGUUCAAAUUCAAAGUAAAUCAAUUCACUUGGUAUUUGAGUUUACAAAUAAAGUUAUGCUCCUUUAUUUCUUAAAGAGAACGUGAAAUUAUCAAGAAGAAAAAUUGUCAAGUCACUUUCUUAUGUCAGAUCUUAUCUUUUCUCAAGAAUAAGCAAAUGCUGAAUUGGAUAGGCACUGAGAUUGCACAAUUGCAACUAGCCUGAAACAUGUCUCUUCAGGAACUGUCCAGCUGCUCCUGAUGGUGGAACGGUUAUAUAUAUUGUGUCAUCUCCGAUUCUGGUCCCUAAGGACAAUUCUCUAAAAUUCACACCAUCGAAGUAAGGUUGAGUGCUUAGAAGACUCAACGGAAAGCAACGCCGACAACAUUUUGACGACUUUGACAAAUACCGACAAUGGCUGGAGGACUUAAAAAACCUGCGGAAGCCAGUGGGAGCUGAGCGAAACAUCUAUUCAGGAAACAAGAUACAGUCGUGUGUAAAAGCUAUUGAAACAUGCAAUUUAGUUCUUAGUAGUGGUUUUAUUUUAGAGUUGGAAAAGACCUUUUAUGUUCCUAAGUUUUCUAGGAAUUUAAUUUCAGUAUCAUGACUUGUACCUUUGGGAUACUUCUUCUUUUUCCUAGAAGGUUAUUCUAAUCUAUUUUAUAAAUCUAAACAUGUUGGUUAUGGUACACUGUCUGAUGGUAUUUUCUCUCUUGAUUUGCAAAAUGAUUCCACUCAUAAUGUUAUGCAUGUCCAAAUUGGCAUCAAACGAUGUGUUAUGAAUGAAAAUUCU